AGAAACAUUGGAAUCGUCAUGAGGAAAAAUCAAUAACCAACCAUAUGAGUUAUGCCCACAAUUUAGACCUCGCCUUGCUUGCGAAUUGUGGGGUUUUAAAGCUAGAAGCCCAUUAAACAUUGACAGACACCAUGUUGGGGCUUAAAAAGAUUUCACUACUUUGGAGAUGUUUAUCCCACAAAGAAGAAUGUAACGCAGUGGAAUUGAUAGGCAAGAGAAAGAAAGAAUACUCAAGGUAUUACACAAUAAUUUUAUUUACUCACAAACUAGUACAAGAGGAAACACUUAAAUACUCUUAGAAGCUUUGUUGCUUCUUCUCACUUCUCACUACUUGCUCUCUUGGUUGUUACAAAUGGUGUGGAUGCCUUCUCCUUUUAUAGGCAUGGAUGGAACCUUAGAGAAGCAUGGAAACAUCAUGCUAGAUAUAUCUAGAUAAUUCCACUACCUUCCUAUACUAGAAUUAUCUACACUAAUCUUGUAUGUUGGUGGAAUCCUCACCAUUCUUCUAGAUUCUUUCACCAACUUGAACUUUGCUAGAAUUCUCUAGCAUGUGCAUGGAUCUUUCUUUGUGCAUGGGCUAGAUCCAUUAUCUUUGGGCCAAGACAAGAUUACAAUUCAACAUCCCCCCUUAAUCUUGUCUUGUGACGCCGAUUGAUUCUCAAUCUAACAAAGUCUUCUUGUUUGAGUGGUUUGGUGAAUAUGCUGGCAACUUGGUCUUGAGACUUCAUGUAUUCAACUUGCACAUCCUUUCUUGCAAUACACUCUCUUAGGUAAUGAUAGCGGGUAUCUACGUGUUUGCUCUUGUCAUGGAAUACUGGAUUCUUUGCUAGAGCUAUUGCAGACUUGUUGUUAACAUAGAUCUCUGUUGGCUCUUCUUGUGGCAUGCUUAAUUCUUUCAGCAAGUUUCUUAGCCAGAUUGCAUGACAGACAUGAGGUAGCAGCUACGUAUUCAACUUCCCAGGUAGAGAGAGUGACAAUCGGUUGCUUCUUCGACAUCCAUGUGAAUGCAGUGUCUUCCAUGAAGAACACAAAUCCAGUAGUGCUUUUUCUAUCGUUGGAAUCUCCUACCCAAUCACUGUCACUAUAUCCAACAAGUUUCUAGUUACUAGAACUUGAAUAUAACAAGCCAAAGUUAAUAGUACCUUUAAGGUAUCGAAGAAGUCUUUUGGCUGUCUUCAAAUGUGUAGUUGUGGGAUUUUCCAUGUAGCGAUUGACUAAUCCGACGGCAUAGAGAAUAUCUGGUCUUGUGUAAGUCAAGUAGCGUAAGCUUCCAACUAAACUCUUGAAAAUUGUUGGAUAUAAACUUUCUCCUUCGUCAUACUUGGUUAGUUUAACUCCGCACUCCACUAGAGUGCUUAUGGGCUUGCAAUCAUUCAUUUUGAACUUUUUCAGUAUCUCCUUUAUGUAGCUUUCUUGGGAGAUGAAAAUGCCUUCUCCGUUCUACUUGACUUCAAUGCCUAGGUAGUAUGCCAUCAGCCCGAUGUCGGUCAUCUCGAAUUCUUUGGUCAUCACUCUCUUGAACUCUUCAUACAUGCUUGGAUUACUUCCGGUGAAGAUUAGAUCAUCCACAUAUAAGCACACAAUUAGAAUAUAUGCAUCCUUGACUUUGACAUAGAGAGCAUGUUCAUGAGGGCACUUGAUGAAGUUGUUUUCUUGGAAGUACUUGUCGAUGUGACUAUUCCAUGCUCUGGGCGCUUGUUUUAACCCAUAGAGGGCUUUCUUUAGCUUCAGAACUUUGUCUUCAUGCCCUUUGAUUUCAUAGCCUGACGGUUGCUGAAUGUACACUUCUUCUUCAAGGACUCCAUUUAGGAAAACGGACUUCACAUCCAUUUGUUGAAUCUUCCACUUGUUUUGAGCUGCCAAAGAAAUUAGUAAUCGUAUAGUUUCCAACCGAGCAACGAGUGCAAACACCAGACUCCCCAAUGAUGCAAAUUUCUAUUGCAUAUCUGACCAAAACAACCUUCACACAGAAUGUCCACUUAGAAGCCUACUUCUUACAACCAAUUUUAAAACAUGCAUAGAAAUUUUGCAUGUUGAUUUCUGAAAAACAAUCAGUAUCUAAGCUAGUAGAACUUUGGAAAUGCUUGACAACAUAAUACGUAUAGGGUGGACUAAUAUAUAUAUGUGUGUGUGUGUGUGUGUUUGUCCAACUGUCCAUAAAUUCCUUACCACAUCAACCUUGACCCAUUCGAAUCUAUAUAUUUGAAUUUGUUUAAAUUCCCAUGGCUACACUUCUUUACAAACACUUAUCAGCUGCUAAUAAUUAAACUGACCAACUAUGAUUACUGUGAUGAGCUAUAGGAUACAAAAUGUGUGAUAUAAUUAUGUUUGUUAAGUAAAACUAUUACACAGCUAAUGUUUCUCUCGCCUCUCUUUUCCUUCCAAUAAUGAUUGAUACAAAACAACCAUUCUUCAUUGGGAAUCAAGGAUUGCAACAUUAAUAUUAUCAAUGAUCAACAAUGUAAAUUGACCCAAAUAAAAGGAU
rnacentral:lncRNA from 1 species